GAUGAACGCUAGCGGGAGGCCUAACACAUGCAAGCCGAGCGGUAUGGGUAGCUUGCUACCCAGAGAGCGGCGUACGGGUGCGUAACACGUGUGCAACCUGCCCCUAUCCGGGGGAUAGCCCUCCGAAAGGAGGAUUAAUACCCCAUAAUAUAUCUGGUGGCAUCACUAGAUAUUGAAAACCCCGGUGGAUAGGGAUGGGCACGCGCAAGAUUAGAUAGUUGGCGGGGUAACGGCCCACCAAGUCGAUGAUCUUUAGGGGUCCUGAGAGGGAGAUCCCCACACUGGUACUGAGACACGGACCAGACUCCUACGGGAGGCAGCAGUGAGGAAGAUUGGACAAUGGGUGGAAGCCUGAUCCAGCCAUCCCGCGUGAGGGACGACGGCCCUAUGGGUUGUAAACCUCUUUUGUACGGGGAUAAACCUAUCUACGUGUAGAUAGCUGAAGGUACCGUACGAAUAAGCACCGGCUAACUCCGUG
rnacentral:rRNA from 1 species